rnacentral:tRNA from 1 species
AGGUUGGUGGCUCAGUGGUUAGAGCGUAGGUCUCGUAAGCGAAGGGUUGCGGGAUCGAAUCCCGCUAGAGGCUG